UACGUAGGGUGCAAGCGUUGUCCGGAAUUAUUGGGCGUAAAGAGCUCGUAGGCGGUCUGUCACGUCGGCUGUGAAAACCCGAGGCUCAACCUCGGGCCUGCAGUCGAUACGGGCAAACUAGAGUACUGCAGGGGAGACUGGAAUUCCUGGUGUAGCGGUGAAAUGCGCAGAUAUCAGGAGGAACACCGGUGGCGAAGGCGGGUCUCUGGGCAGUAACUGACGCUGAGGAGCGAAAGCGUGGGGAGCGAACCGG
rnacentral:rRNA from 1 species